AAGUUGUUAGCGUGGUUCUGCUUUGUGAGGCCAGGCCAGUAUCCUAUCUGCAUGGCUGAAGCUGAAUCACUGAUAUACACUCAAUAACAGAAACCUUGGCCGAAUUGUCACAAUAGCAGAGCCAUUCAACACUGAACUGCAACUGUGGCAGAUGGAGAGCUUUUUUGCAAAAUAUCCACAAGCUGGAGCAGGAGAAAAACCUAGGGAACAAGUGCUGGAAACAGUGAAAAACAAUAUCGAGUGGCUAAAACAACACAGAAACACCAUCAGAGAAUGAAGCAAAAACAUAUUAACAUCAUAACUUAUCAGAAAAACCCCACUAUCCUCAUAAGACUUAACUUAAAAUUCUGACCACAGUCAGAACCAGCACUUGAAGUCUAUGUAUUGUUUCAGGUAGGACAUAUUAUGAAGCAGAAACGUCCAGAGCCAGCACUUGGUUUGCCAUGUUCUCCGUGUUUCUUCUGCUCCUAGGUGCAGCAGUAUUCCAGAUAGAGGCCGCACUAUGAGCCAGGAUGAAAACAACGUGGAAUAGAACUUAGCCAGCACAGAGUACACAUGUGCUGUAAAUGAGAAAUAUCCCUUUGUUAUUGUAAAUCACUGAGAUUUUGAGGUUGUCUGUUACUUCAGCAUAAUCUAGCCUAAUAUAAACACCAAACUAACAUA
rnacentral:sRNA from 1 species